rnacentral:lncRNA from 1 species
GUUCUGUGACCUCAUCCUUCCUCCCCUGCCCUCCCAAACUGUAAAUAUAGUGUUUUCCCUGUUGUAACUUAACAUAUGGUUUACAGCAAGGAAACUGGAGUAAUCCUAGAAAUGAAUAUCGGCUCAUGUUUCAGACCUCAUAUUCAGAUUUUAUCCAAAGACUUUCGGGACUGGGGAAUCGUUGGCCAGCUGUGCCUCUGAACCUCUGCUUUUCACUCUCACCUGCUUUGAGAAAUUUGAUCAACUCCAACAGGGACAUGAAAUAUUCAUUCACUGCUCCUAGAGAUUGUUGUCCUGUGACUGCCCAGGGUUAAACUAGGAAAUAUUCCUCACAUUGAUUGUACCUCAAUAGCAUUUGUCCAAAACAUUUCUUGGCAAAAUCAGAGUAAAGUAUUUUUAAAAAUAUUUAAUUAAAAAGUCAACAUAGAACUUUGGUAAUAAAUUAAUUUCAAGGAAAAAAAAACUGUAUCA